CUGAUGCAGCGACGCCGCGUGAGGGAUGAAGGCCUUCGGGUUGUAAACCUCUUUCAGCAGGGACGAAGCGAAAGUGACGGUACCUGCAGAAGAAGCACCGGCUAACUACGUGCCAGCAGCCGCGGUAAUACGUAGGGUGCGAGCGUUGUCCGGAAUUACUGGGCGUAAAGAGUUCGUAGGCGGUUUGUCGCGUCGUCUGUGAAAACCCAUCGCUCAACGAUGGGCCGGCAGGCGAUACGGGCAGACUUGAGUACUGCAGGGGAGACUGGAAUUCCUGGUGUAGCGGUGAAAUGCGCAGAUAUCAGGAGGAACACCGGUGGCGAAGGCGGGUCUCUGGGCAGUAACUGACGCUGAGGAACGAAAGCGUGGGUAGCAAACAGGAUUAGAUACCCUGGUAGUCCACGCCGUAAACGGUGGGCGCUAGGUGUGGGUUCCUUCCACGGGAUCUGUGCCGUAGCUAACGCAUUAAGCGCCCCGCCUGGGGAGUACGGCCGCAAGGCUAAAACUCAAAGGAAUUGACGGGGGCCCGCACAAGCGGCGGAGCAUGUGGAUUAAUUCGAUGCAACGCGAAGAACCUUACCUGGGUUUGACAUAUACUGGAAAGCUGCAGAGAUGUAGCCCCCCUUGUGGCCGGUA
rnacentral:rRNA from 1 species